CUCCCCCGGGCACAGCGCCCGCUUCUUCGACUUCCUGACGGCGCAGCUGGGCCUCGGCACCGAGCGGAUUGUCAUCCGCUUCUACCCACUGGAGCCCUGGCAGAUCGGCAAGAACAGAACAGUCAUGACGUUCCUAUGAUCCCUGGAGCAGCCGGUUGGAACAAAGCAAUGAUGAAGAUAACCCAGAGAUGACCAGCUCCAUUUACUUUUUUCCUCUUAUGAUCAAAUCUGUGUAGCUCUGCACCUUCACUUGUAUGAUUCACUUUUGUCUUUGCAUCACAUGCGUACGAAGUUCAAGUGGGGCAAUCUUCUGUACUGAUUUUACUAAAACAGUUCGAGUCUUUGUCUCAAGUCUGUCUCGCAGCCCAAAGGUUCUCCUGGUGCCUGUGGCUAAGCCAUUGCAAUCUGCUGGUGGCCAUAUGUGGGCCUUGAAAAAGCUGUCUUGUAGCAGCAGGAAGUUUAAUUCCAGAACACAUUUGGCUUUAUUGAGGACCAGAGAGGUUCUUGGGUUCUUCCAGUUUUCCUCAUACUUUGCAAAGCAGGAGGAUCCUUUCUUCUGUUUCCUGGUGGUAGCAGAAGAGUCCCAGGCUGGCUAAGUAGAACUGGGAGUCAAAUCCUUCUCUUUUCAAGCUCCCCGAAAGCCCUUUCUGGAAAGAGAGGUGAUUACUGGGAGGGGAGUUUAUGCUUUUAUAUAAUUGUUUAUUUAAGGCUCAUGUCAGAUCCUGUGCUCUGUGCUCUACCAUUGCUACCCUUGGUGGCUGCUUCUGCCAAGUGUUAGUCCCCAAGAUCUUCACGGCUGAAUGUUUGUGUGCUGAUGGCAACGAGUAGAGGAGGGAGCUGCUUGUGAAGAAUUGCACUGUGCCACAGGAAAAUACUUUGAAGGUUCUGCUACUGCCAGCUUUAAUUCCUGUUAUUUGCCCAGUUGUUCAAAAUACUUUUACUCCCCCCACUGUUACAGAGAGUUUUGAGCUAAUACAGCAUCUCACUGUGUGCUAUGGAUGGACUUUUCAGCUCACUGUCCCAGCGGGGAAGUGGUUUGGGUUUUAGGCCCCAUAUGCUCCCUCACUUUAUAACUGGAAUACACAUGGCAUUGUAUUUAAACAAAAGUGCGGUACUUUUAAUGUAUAAUGUUAUCUCUGUCUUCCACUGAUCCUGAAAACCUCAGUUUCUUUUCCACUUUGUGACUCGGUCAGGUCACAGAAGGAGCUCAGAGGAUCUGCAAGCGUGCUCUUGGGACACGGAGGUCCAUGGGAAGGCAAGGGUGCUCCUUUGUCAUUCAGGGUGGAGUGCUAUUUGGUUAUGACUUGAGGUCUCAAGAUAGUUGAAAAUAUUCCUUCUAGUUACCAUUUGAAGUUGGUUGUUCCCUCUGCAUAAUAAACAUUUUCUGUGUUUUCAAAAUCUGUCAGCACUAUAAUACCAAACACAAAUUUGUGUAUCAGGCAAGGAGGGCUACACAUUACCUAGUUAAUAAAAUUUAUUAAAGCCUCUUCUGAUAAGCAUCA